UACGUAGGGAGCAAGCGUUGUCCGGAAUCAUUGGGCGUAAAGCGCGCGUAGGUGGCCUCAUAAGUCCGCUGUGAAAGUCAAAGGCUCAACCUUUGAAAGCCGGUGGAUACUGUGAGGCUAGAGUACGGAAGAGGCGAGUGGAAUUCCUGGUGUAGCGGUGGAAUGCGCAGAUAUCAGGAGGAACACCAAUAGCGAAGGCAGCUCGCUGGGACGGUAUGACGCUGAGGUGCGAAGCGUGGGAG
rnacentral:rRNA from 1 species